rnacentral:snoRNA from 1 species
GAUGUAGAGAGAGUAACGCAACGACAAUCUCAUUUAAGUCCCUUAAGGCCCCAUAAGAAGCGAAGCCAUCCAAUAGGGACGAGAGAGAAGCCAGAGAUCUCACAAAAUUUAUCUUGGAAUUUAUGCAUGGCAGUCAGAUGGUAGUUGAUAAGGAGAAUUCAUCUCCAUCUGCCUGUAGUCACCGCAAGAGCAUCGAGAUCCAUAUGAACCGAUGUCUUGCAACAAUUGAAAAUUCCUUG